CAAGGAGAUGCAGCAAUGAGGGGAGCCGAAGAGAGAACAAGAAAGGGAAGCUGAGGACUUCUUUCUUUUUCUAUUUUCUUGUUUUGUUGUGUGAUUAAUUUUCUUAUAAUAUAUUUCAGAAGUUUGUUAAAUAAAAUGAGUAUUUUAUUUUCCAAUAUGAGUGGCUUAAUUUUCUAAGUUAAGGUGAAAGGCGAAGCUCAAAAAUUCAAAUUAUAUAGUUAAUUACUCUCUCAAGUGAGUCUUAAAGCUUAUUUUAUUUGUUGUAUUUGUCUUCUUUACCAAUAUCUUUUAUGUCAUGUUAAUUUAUAGAUUUAAAUCAGUUCAGAUUUAUAUGGUAUUGUGACAUAAUGUCAAAAUUUCAAUAUAGUUGUAGCAUAUUAGGUUCUUGGUCUCAUAUUUAUCACACUUAAGUUAGUUAAGAAUUAAAGGGCAUAAUAAUUAAUUUGUGAAAUAAAUGCAAAAUACAAAUAUGAAAGAGUUGUUAUAAUCAUAAUUUGAAAUUUAAGAGUAGAUCUCAUAAUCUUAGCAUAUUUUUAGAUUGAUUCCUAUUAAUUUCUUUUCUCGCAUUAAAUUUUCUUAGUUUAAUAAUUUGACUACUAAAUUUUAAAUUCCUUGUAGUUUGACCCAAGACUUAUCGGGUUAUAUUAUAACUAGACACUCUUAUAUUUAGAAGUAAUAACACUUUUAAGUCGUGUCAAAUUUUUGGCUCCAUUACCGAGAAGUUUCUUAAGUUUGGUGUCAAUUUUAUUUUAUUUUAUUUUUCUCUUCUUCUCUUCUCUUGUGUUAAUUAUUUUCCUCCCGUUCGCUCAUUCCUUUGUUUGGUUCUAAUAAUUCAUUUUGUUAAUUUUCAGUUAGCUCGCUUUUCUCUCUUGUAAUCAUAGAAUUGCCAUAAAACCUGUGAAGAAUUUCAUUUUAGCCCAUAAAUUGCUGGAAAUCAGUCCUUAAAAACCGAAUUGGAACUUGGAUCUUGGACUUUGCCUUAUUCGUUUGACUUUUGGACUUGGUGGACAUAACGUACAUGGACUUGGACUUUUAAAAUAACCAUUAAGGCCCAAUAAUUGAAAUUUAAUUAGCUGGUAAUUUUUAAAAUUAAAAAACAAAACCCGUAAUUUUUUCUUUCUUUAAAUUUUUGCAAUUUACUUUUUGCAUUUAUUUUUAAUGGUCGGUUCAGCCGCCUGAAUUGUUAUUUAAAUUUUGUUAAUUUAUUAUUAUUAUUUAUAUGGUUAGUUCUACCGCCUAUUAUUUUAAUUUUAGUUUAAUUAUUCUUAUGCAUUAAUUUGUGUAAUUUUUAUUUUAUGUUUUAUUAUAUGGUUGUUUUUAAAAUACCCCCUAAAUUGUUUCCCUUAAUUUCUUUGUUUAUAUGGUUGGUUCAACCGCCUACUAUUUUCAUUUAAUUAAUUUUCAGUUUAUUUUUUUCACAUUUAUUUAAUUGCUUAUUUAAUUUUUAUUUUGUUGUGCAAUUUUCAUGUUUGCUUGUGCAUCAUCUUCUUAAUAUAACACACAUCAUUUGCAUUGCAUGCGAUGCUGGUCUUGUACAGAUAGUGGUAGAUUAAUUAGGAAAUCAUCUUCAUCACCCUUAGACAUGGCAGACAUCGAAGCUGAUAACUUUUCAAAGCAUGAAGAUAACCAAACCUUGCAAAAUCUUCAUGAACAGCCUAGGACACUUAGAGGUUUCAUGCAUCUUACUAGAACAUAGUCACCAUCAUGUAUAUCUUUUCCUCCUCAUGCAUCACAUUUUAAUUUUAAACCUAGUAUCAUCCAACUUCUACCUAUUUUUCAUAGUUUUAAGUCUGAAAAUCCAUAUCUGCAUUUGAGAGAAUUUGAGAAAGUUUGUAACAUGUGUACUGAUUAAAAUUGUAGCAUGAAUAUAACCAGGUGAUUGACACUAAAAAGUGUACAUUUAAUAAGGAUAAAAUUAUUAGUUUUUCACUUAUUAUGUUGAUUAAUGCGCUCAUUAUUUCUAAAUUAUUUUAAUACUCCCCAAAUAUAUUUUAUGUUAAAUUAAUUCGCAAUAUGUUAAUUUAUAUCUUGUAAAUAUUUUCAGGAAUAAAGAUAGAAUUGGAGUUGAAAGCAGGAACAAAGAAGGAUAGUUGGAGCAAUUUAGAAUUCAUCAAUCGAAGAGAUGUUAUUAAAAAUAAAUAAAAAAUAAAAAAAGAUUGGCAAGCAUGUUGGUGAUGGUCAGGAGGC
rnacentral:lncRNA from 1 species